UAUUUCUUUAUUAUAUAUAUUUAUUUAAGUUGACGUUGGACUUAGUUGGUCUGCAAUAAGGUGAUCCCAUCUGUCACCGAACCAGGUCUAGACCAAUUUCAAAACAGAUACAUACCAGGUCUAAAUCAUCUUCAAACCAGGUCCAAACAAGGUUUAAAUAAUUUCUAAGGAACAACAUAUCUGAUAAAUUUCAAAGCAGACGGAUCAGAUUCUACUGAAGUAUAAAGAACGACAAACACACACACACACACAUAAACACAUAAACACAUGUACAGUCAGCCAGUGCUGCAGACACAGACUGGCAUUAACAACAUAUGGUAGUGUGUAUAAAAAGCAUAUUAAGUGCCAGAAACAAGAUUAGACCCAUAAACAACCACAUUCCCAAUGUUUAGCAGUUACGAAACCAGAAGAAAAUAUUUCUAAAAACAAUAGGUUGUCUCGCAAUAAAACAUUCCAUGAUGCAAUCCAGGCAGCAAAAACCCCGCCCACCCAGGCUUCCUGGAAUGCUGUCUGAGUAUAUUAACUGAGGACUGGUGAGGAAGAGGUUGAUGCAAGGGUUGGAUGGAGUAUAAAGGGGUUUUAGGGGGUUUGAGGAGGAGGGAGUGUAGGAGGAGUGGAGGCUUACUGGAAGCCUGCUGGAAACCAUUAACCGAGGGCUGUGUGAGGAAGUUGGAUGAAGAGGAAUAUAAGGAGCAGGGGAGAGUGAGGGAGUGUAGAUGGGCCAGGCAGAUUGGAGGGUAAGGGGUUCUGGUCCAGAGUGACUAAAGGGGUUAAAGGGUUCAGGAUGGAGGGUAAAGGGGUUGGAGAAGGAUGAGGGGUUGGAAGAGGAGAGAGAGAUUGGGUGAAGGCUUAGUGGAUGGCUGCUGGAAAACAAUAACUGAGGGGUGUGUGAAGAAGGUGGAUGAGGAGGAUGAGGAGGAAGAGGAGUAGCCAGGGAGUGUGACACAGUGUGGGGGGGAGGAGGAGGAGGUUUCUUGGCCCCAGGAGGUAGUGGUGAAGGAUCUGAUGCCAACCUUUCAGUCCAAGCCAAGUUACGUGUAGGCUGCCAUGUUAUCAGUUCAUGUUAACAGCAUCAGGGUCACGUAACGGGUCUGUCACAGGUAGAAAGGGACCGGGCCUGAAGAAUGAGAAGAUGCACCACUGCACCACGACACUGUUGGCAUCAGUCUGCAAGAUGCUUUAGAUAUAAAUGUGUUAGGUUUCUUUAAAGGGCAUGAAAUACAAAAAAAUCGGACAUGUUUUAAAUAUUAAGGUUUAGGGUAAGGGAAUCUGGUUCAGGCUGAUGGUGGGUUAGGGGUUCUGGUCCAGGCUGACCGGAGGGUUAGGGGUUCUGGUGGUCCAGGCUGACCGGAGGGUUAGGGGUUCUGGUGGUCCAGGCUGACUGGAGGGUUAAGGGUUCUGGUCCAGGCUGACUGGAGGGUUAAGGGUUCUGGUCCAGGCUGACUGGAGGGUUAGGGGUUCUGGUCCAGGCUGACCGGAGGGUUAGGGGUUCUGGUCUAGGCUGACUGGAGGGUUAGGGGUUCUGGUCUAGGCUGAUGGAGGGUUAGGGGUUCUGGUCCAGGCUGACUGGAGGGUUAGGGGUUCUGGUGGUCUAGGCUGACUGGAGGGUUAAGGGUUCUGGUCCAGGCUGACUGGAGGGUUAGGGGUUCUGGUCUAGGCUGAUGGAGGGUUAGGGGUUCUGAUCCAGGCUGACUGGAGGGUUAGGGGUUCUGGUCCAUGCUGACCGGAACUUUAGGGGUUCUGGUCCAGGCUGAUCGGAACGUUAGGGGUUCUGGUCUAGGCUGACCCGGGCCGUGCUGUAGAAGGUGAUCCUUCCGCUACAGGCGACCUGGAGGUUCACCGUGGUGGCAUAGUUGGUCCUAGGAAGCCCCGGGUGGGCUGUGAUCUGUGUUUGAACCAGAGUGUGGGGAUCUGCUUGCUGGGUGGUGGGGUUGUGGUUGGUGUGGUCGGUGGAGGGCGUGGUGGUGGGAGUUUGGGCCAGGGAAGGGCGGGCUACAUAGGCACAGAACAGCUGACUGCGACAGCUUCCCUUCUCCAGCUCUCCCUGCUCUUGGGGAGAGGAGAAGGAGGGGGAAGGAGGGUGAGCAUAGGAGAGAGGAGCAGAAGAAGAGGAGAAGGGGGCUGUUGUGACCUCAGUCUCUGGACUCUGGUCGAGGAGCUCCUGAUCGUCUCGCUGGGGAUGCCUCCCAGCCUGGGUGGCCCUGUCUGGGCUGAGCCUGCUGGGCGAGACCGGAGGCUGGAGGUAGGAGGAGCAGGCCUUGAUAGGGCUCCUGAGGUUCAGGGAACUUGGGGCAGGAGUAGAGGAGGAGGUGUCCGGUGUAUAGGAGGUCGGGUAGGGUGCAGAGCAUGGGUUCCGUGGCCGGGGUGCAGCGAUGUGAUCGGUCCAGGCGUUUGACGGAACACCAAUCGGAGGCGGGGACAGAAUGCGGGGGCAGCAGGAGCCGGAGCCAGUAACAGACUUCAUCAAGAUGGCCUGCUCCAGGCUGAGGCCCGUGGGCGGGGUAAGAACCAGGGGAGUGGAAGAGUCCUGGGGAGGAAUGGGAGUGAAGGAGUCAUGGUGAGGAGCUGGAGAGCAGAGAAAGGCGGAAGGGGAUUGGACCCGCGAGCCUGGCUCGGAGGCAGAGAAGGGCCGUGCAACCCGGUUGUGAUGGCCGGACCAGAGAGCAUCAUGGGAAGGCUGUGUUGCAGCGACGCUGGCGGGAGAACAAGAGACAUUCCUCUGGCUUGCUAGCCAUCCACCGCUUCCACUAGCACCGCUGGCACUUCUGUGGCUGACCCCUACAUCUGCCAUGCUAUCCCUGCAAUGCCUGUGGUUGUUGCUGUGGUUGCUGUUUAUAUGAACGCAGGAAUCUGAUAGGCCGACAGAUCUGGAGUGGAGGAGGGAGUUGGAGGAGGGGAGGCUGGG
ensembl:lncRNA